rnacentral:rRNA from 1 species
GAUGAACGCUGGCGGCGUGCCUAAUACAUGCAAGUCGAGCGAACAGACGAGGAGCUUGCUCCUCUGACGUUAGCGGCGGACGGGUGAGUAACACGUGGAUAACCUACCUAUAAGACUGGGAUAACUUCGGGAAACCGGAGCUAAUACCGGAUAAUAUAUUGAACCGCAUGGUUCAAUAGUGAAAGACGGUUUUGCUGUCACUUAUAGAUGGAUCCGCGCCGCAUUAGCUAGUUGGUAAGGUAACGGCUUACCAAGGCAACGAUGCGUAGCCGACCUGAGAGGGUGAUCGGCCACACUGGAACUGAGACACGGUCCAGACUCCUACGGGAGGCAGCAGUAGGGAAUCUUCCGCAAUGGGCGAAAGCCUGACGGAGCAACGCCGCGUGAGUGAUGAAGGUCUGCGGAUCGUAAAACUCUGUUAUUAGGGAAGAACAAAUGUGUAAGUAACGAUGCACGUCUGGACGGUACCUAAUCAGAAAGCCACGGCUAACUACGU